rnacentral:rRNA from 1 species
AUGAACGCUGGCGGCGUGCCUAAUACAUGCCAGUCGAGCGAACAGACGAGGAGCUUGCUCCUCUGACGUUAGCGGCGGACGGGUGAGUAACACGUGGAUAACCUACCUAUAAGACUGGGAUAACUUCGGGAAACCGGAGCUAAUACCGGAUAAUAUAUUGAACCGCAUGGUUCAAUAGUGAAAGUCGGUUUUGCUGUCACUUAUAGAUGGAUCCGCGCCGCAUUAGCUAGUUGGUAAGGUAACGGCUUACCAAGGCAACGAUGCGUAGCCGACCUGAGAGGGUGAUCGGCCACACUGGAACUGAGACACGGUCCAGACUCCUACGGGAGGCAGCAGUAGGGAAUCUUCCGCAAUGGGCGAAAGCCUGACGGAGCAACGCCGCGUGAGUGAUGAAGGUCUUCGGAUCGUAAAACUCUGUUAUUAGGGAAGAACAAAUGUGUAAGUAACUAUGCACGUCUUGACGGUACCUAAUCAGAAAGCCACGGCUAACUACGUG